UUCUUCGGGGCGGGGCGAGAUUCCCCACCGGCGGUACAGUCCGCGAGCUGUGAGAAGCAGUUGAUCCGGUGAAAUUCCGGAACCGACAGUAUAGUCUGGAUGAGAGAAGAA
rnacentral:ncRNA from 1 species